UAUGAAGGGGGCUAGCGUUGUUCGGAAUCACUGGGCGUAAAGCGCACGCAGGCGGAUCGAUAAGUCGGGGGUGAAAGCCCGGGGCUCAACCUCGGAAUUGCCUUCGAUACUGUCGGGCUCGAGUCCGGGAGAGGUGAGUGGAAUUCCUAGUGUAGAGGUGAAAUUCGUAGAUAUUAGGAAGAACACCAGUGGCGAAGGCGGCUCACUGGCCCGGUACUGACGCUCAGGUGCGAAAGCGUGGUGAGCAAACAGG
rnacentral:rRNA from 1 species